UUUCUGCAGCUCCGGUGUUGCGACAGCGUGAGUGUGUGAGUGUGUGAGUUCGUGAGCGUGUGUGUUGGGGUAGAGGAUGAGGCUGAGGAUGAGGACGCGCAGAGGAACGCUGUUAAUGUGUUAGAAAAGAUGAUGAGGAGCCCGACAUCAGCUGCUCAACACUGCACACCGCGGAGACGCUCACCUUCUACAGGUACGAGGAAGAAUCCGUGGUGAGGUGUUAUGCGCUGAGGGUUCGAACAUGCACACGGGAAAAUCGGAAGUGCGCAUCCGCUCGAAGUGCGCCGCGCUCUUGGGAAUGCUCGGUCACCAUCACGGGUUUGCCGACGUCGCCGAUCUCACGGAUCUGUGCUGGAAACAGGACGAGCGCGUGGAGCGCCUACAGGACGCCGACUUCCUCCGUGCGAAAACGGCGGCGGCCCAGGAGAAGGCGCAGCCGAUUAAAUCUCACACGGCGAGCUUCUGCAUGGCUCCAGGACAAGGACAAGUGAAGGAGAAGCACAAUGCAGUGACCCUCAGCUUUGAUGUGUGGUGGCGCGAGCGUU
ensembl:lncRNA